GACGAACGCUGGCGGCGUGCCUAAUACAUGCAAGUAGAACGCUGAAGGAGGAGCUUGCUUCUCUGGAUGAGUUGCGAACGGGUGAGUAACGCGUAGGUAACCUGCCUGGUAGCGGGGGAUAACUAUUGGAAACGAUAGCUAAUACCGCAUAAUAGCAGUUGUUGCAUGAUAACUGUUUGAAAGGUGCAAUUGCACCACUACCAGAUGGACCUGCGUUGUAUUAGCUAGUUGGUGGGGUAACGGCUCACCAAGGCGACGAUACAUAGCCGACCUGAGAGGGUGAUCGGCCACACUGGGACUGAGACACGGCCCAGACUCCUACGGGAGGCAGCAGUAGGGAAUCUUCGGCAAUGGACGGAAGUCUGACCGAGCAACGCCGCGUGAGGGAAGAAGGGUUUCGGAUCGUAAAGCUCUGUUGUAAGAGAAGAACGAGUGUGAGAGUGGAAAGUUCACACUGUGACGGCAUCUUACCAGAAAGGGACGGCUAACUACGUG
rnacentral:rRNA from 1 species